UAUAUGUAGAUAUAUAUACAGACAUUACACAGGUGAUACAGGGUUAUAUGUAGAUAUAUAUACAGACAUUACACAGGUGAUACAGGGUUAUAUGUAGAUAUAUACAGACACAGAUGCGACAAGUGGACAGUGCGCAUGCGUAGACAUCCGUGUUUUUAAAUAUUUAUGAUCCAAGCCGCAGCCAAUCAGCAGAGAGACGUCCACAUGACUGCUUACAUAGUCCCACCCUACGUGAUGACGUCACACCGCCAGCCUGCCUUAUGCUAAUAUGCGGCGUGGAACGUGAUGACGUAGGCGCCCCUGCGGGUCCCGAUUGCUGCAGCCGCUUGUCAGUGUGACGAAGAUUGGCACCGGGUCAGUGCACCGAGGUAUCUGCUGUGAGAUGAGGGCAGCAGUCAGCGCAGUAUGAUGUCCACAGACCAUAUGGGCAUGGAAAACUACCCGGAGGAGCCGCAGGUUGUCACCCAGUUCAAGACGGAGCAGGACCCGAUGAGCAGUGAGCCAUCG